rnacentral:rRNA from 1 species
UACGUAGGGGGCAAGCGUUGUCCGGAUUUAUUGGGCGUAAAGAGCGUGUAGGCGGCCAGAUAGGUCUGUUGUGAAAACUCGAGGCUCAACCUCGAGACGCCGAUGGAAACCAUUUGGCUAGAGUCCGGAAGAGGAGAGUGGAAUUCCUGGUGUAGCGGUGAAAUGCGCAGAUAUCAGGAAGAACACCGAUGGCGAAGGCAGUUCUCUGGGCCGUAACUGACGCUGAGGAGCGAAAGCGUGGGGAGCGAACAGG